UGUCUUUUGGUCCUCUCUCUCCUCUCAUUGUCUCUCUCUCCCCUCAUCUUUUUGAUUGUCGUCUUCAAUCUCAACCACUCUAGAAAUCCUUCAGGCUCAGAGAAUUUGCACUAUAUUUCUUCUUUAUCAAACCAGAUUAUCCUUCUGGGAUUUGGCAAAUCAUAUUUAGCAAAGGGUAAAGGAACAACGACCUUUAGUAAAAGAAGAAAUAAGACCACAUACUCUCUGUGAGUUGUGGUUGCCGUAGAGUCCAUGCGUAGAGAGUCAUUCGCCGCUCACUGCUUCAAUUGGACUUGUAAGUUUUCCACUAAUUACUCUACUUCAUGAAAUUUUCUUUUGAAUUUUUUAUUUUAAUUUGUGUCAAUCCAAUGUUUUCGAUCUUGGUCUUGUCUAAUGUGUAUUAAAUAACUGGAGUGCGAAGCAAAUCAGGCAAAAAACUACUAAUGCAUGAGGUCUGAAAGCUUCAUUUUCAUCUUACUUACAUACUCCCUGUGAAUGACUAGAAAUACACCAAAAGCUCAGGUAAACUUUAUGUAUUAAUUAAACUCUUGUUAUUGUGCUACGAACCAAAUUGAUUAUUGUUGGUUUUUUGGGGCAUAAACUAAAAAACAACACCUUAGUGUUGCCAAAAAAGCUUAUAAGAGACUUGUGUUGAAGGUGAAAAAUGAGCUUGUAGUUCUACAUUCAUCAACUCACUAUUUAUAGUGAUUACAUGAAACAAACUAGCAAAAUAUCCAACUAAUAAUUAUCCUAGAAAUCUCAACAAAAUAUAAUCUCCUUCUACUAGCAAAUCUUAUCUAAAAUAUCUAUUAACAAACCAACAUGAUCUUUUGUUAACAAAUAUCCUUAUUUUUUAAUAACUAAUUUUUGAUAUCAAACUCAAUUUGAUAAAAUCUGUAGGAAAAGCUGGCAUAUCUCAACACUCCUCCUUGCCACUUUUGCUGCAGAUUUUUAAUUUUCUUCUCAAAUCUUUGAACCUUGUUUUGGACAAGGCUUUCAUAAAAAUGUCUGCAAUCUGGUCUUCAGUCUUGCAAUGUUUCUUGAGACAACCUUCAAAACCAAUAUCAAAUUUUUUGAUGUAUUCAAAUGACUUCUUUGCAACUUGAAAGUGAAACUCCCAUACGCAAUAGAUGAACCUGAAAAAGAAAUUCGCAAUACAAAAAAAGAUUGCUAUGAGAGACAUAAAACAAUCAUUCAAAUUUUUGUAUGGCCUUUCAUCAGCUUUGUCACUACCAUCAUCCUUGGGUAACUUUUCAUGAAUUUUCACAAUGUAGCCUCCUUCAAUUGUCUCAUCAAUGAUCUCCUCCUGAAUUUUAGCAUCAUCUAAAUUUUUUGGUUCAUAAUACUGCACCUUAGAAUUGUCAAUUUCUGACAAAUUCAAAGCAAAAUUUUUGCCUCUCAUUUUCACUGAGAAAAGUUCAUUCCCAACUGGAUCAUGUAUAACACAAGUCCUGUUUUUGAAGAUGACAGAAUAAUUCUUCUCCAAUAACUGUCCAACACUCAAUAGAUUUUGAUUAAUUUCAGGCACAUACAAAACAUCAGAAAUAAUUUUGGUACCUGAACCAUAAUCAAUAGCAACACUACCUUUGCCUUUCACCUCAAUAUAAUCUCCAUUUCCAAUUCUGACUUUGGAGAUUUGCGAUUUAUCAAGUUUCCUAAAUAUAGAUUCAUCAUAAGCCAUGUGAUGAGUGCAACCACUGUCUAUUAGCCAAGUUUCAGUACUGAAAUUAUUGCUUGCAAAACAAGUGGCUACGAAAAGUUGCUCCUCAUCUUGUUCAUCAACCAUCUGAGCAUGAUGUUCUCUUUUUCCUUUAUUUUUGCAAACUCUCUCCAUAUGUCCCAUUUGCUUACAAAACCUACAUUGAACGUCAGGUCUAAACCAACAAAAUAUUGAAAGAUGUGAGGUUUUCUUACAGUGUGGACACGGAGGAUUUCUGCCAUUUUUCUUCUCAUCUUUGCUAAAUUUUUUUUGAUCAUUUCUCUCACCUUGUCGAAUUUGAUCCUCAUUUGUUGCUUGAAAAGCACCUUCAACGACUUCUUCAGUUCUUAUGGCUCGUCUUUGUUCUUGUGCCUCUAAAGCAUUGAUCAAUUCUGGCAAGGUCAUCUGAGAUAGAUCCCUUGAAUCUUCAAGAGAGGAAAUCUUGGCUUCAAACCUUUCUGGUAAACUCACCAAGACUUUCUCCACAACUCUGCUAUCUGGAAGUUGUUCUCCAAUCAAUCUGAUUUUGUUCACAACAUUUAAGAGUCUGUCAGAGUACUCUUUAAUGUUUUCUUUGUCUUUCAUCCUAAGGAGUUCAAAUUCUCUCCUAAGGUUCAAAAGUUGCAUCUGUCUUGUUCUGUCAUUGCUUUGAAAAGCCACUUUGAGAGUAUCCCAAGCUUCUUUUGCAGUUUCACAAGUCAUAAUUUUUGUGAAUACUGCAUCGGAAACUGCUGAAUGAAUGCAAGUCAUGGCUUUUGAUCUCCUUUUGACUGCAUCCCUAUGGGCUCUCAUCUCUGCAAUAGUUGGAUCUUCUGACAAUUCAGGAACAGGAUCUAUCUCUACUACAUCCCAAAGAUCAUUAGCAUCCAAAUAGGACUUCAUUUUGACAGCCCAGAUUUGGUAGUUUUCACCAGUGAAAUUUGGAGGAUUGGACAAGAAGUUGUUUCCUGGCAUUUUGAUUUUGAAGGCUUAAGUGUAUAAUUUUAUAGUGAAAAGGGUUUCUCACCAAGUUCACUCACUCUCAAAAACAAAACUCAGGCCCUUAAGAUAUAGGCUCUUGAUACCACUUUGUUGGUUUUUUGGGGCAUAAACUAAAAAACAACACCUUAGUGUUGCAAAAAAAAGCUUAUAAGAGACUUGUGUUGAAGGUGGAAAAUGAGCUUGUAGUUCUACAUUCAUCAACUCACUAUUUAUAGUGAUUACAUGAAACAAACUAGCAAAAUAUCCAACUAACAAUUAUCCUAGAAAUCUCAACAAAAUAUAAUCUCCUUCUACUAACAAAUCUUAUCUAAAAUAUCUGUUAACAAACCAACGUGAUCUUUUGUUAACAAAUAUCCUUAUUUUUCUAAUAACUAAUUUUUGAUAUCAAACUCAAUUUGAUAAAAUCUGUAGGAAAAGCUGGCAUAUCUCAACAAUUAUUUAACGACUAUUUCCGGUACUUGUUGACUAUGUACUCUAUUGCUUUGUUCUGUCUCACAGACCAAUUCGUCUAGUCAAUGAUUGCUUUUUACUGAUGACAUCUGUUUUGUAUGCUGAGUAGUUUUUUUUGGCAAGCUUGGGGGUACGGAAUGCUGAUAUACAUAUAUGAUUUUAGUUCUGAUUUUGGAAGCACCAAUUGAAUGGUCGCUAGAGCUCGUGCAUCGUAAAUUCUUGUCCUACUUGCCAUGCAUGUUUCUAGAAUUAAACGCAACUUCAUGCUUGAGGAAAUUGAGAUUUUCUUUACUUGGGAAUUUGAUGGUCGGUAGGAAAUUGGGGUUCUUGAAAUAUGUUUAAACAACUUACAGUAUGAAGUUUUCAACGGUAUGUUGAUUUAAAUAUUGCUAAGGGUGUGCAUUCUUAUCGAUUUACAUUUCACAUUUAUGCAAAAUGUGAUUUCUGCGGGUUUCACCUCGGCUUUGUUCAUUUGUCAAUCUCACAUUUUUGCUUAGAGUAGAGGUUGUAUGUGACUAGAGCUGCUUUAGUUUUCUGUGCUUGCUUUAGAAAUUCAAAUACAACUACCUACCAUCUUCUUGUGUGAUUUAAUCAAGUUGAAUGUUGAAGACGGAUCUAGGAGCACAAAUUGAAACAAUUAGCUUAACAUGUGAACCUCUGAGUUCUGGAUUUCAAUGGCUGAAAGUCUACGGCAAAAGGUGGAGCCUGCCUACAAGUGAAGUUAGUUUACAACCACUUAGCGCCUCUCUUUAAUUUCUACUUCCAAGUUGCCUAAAUCUUUUCCAGAUACUUCAUAAAUCAUUUUUGUUUUGUUAAAAAUUGCCAAACAAACAAGUAGGAAGCCAAGAACAUUUGGCAAUAAAACCAGUGAUCUACAUUGAUGACUGAAGAGGUUAUUUUUGAAGUCAGCAGACUUCCCCUAGGGGCGGGAGUAACUCUCCUGAAGUGGGUACAGCCUCACAGAAAUCACCUGCUCAAAGUGUCAGAGAUGGGGUAUAAUCCCCUGUUUUACCUCCGACGAUCUAGUUAGCUUAGGUUAGGAGAAAGUAUUGAAAAAGCUUGUGAGCGAUAUACCUUGUAAAACCUAGCUCCCAGAAAAGAAAAAGAACCCCCCUUCAGUGUAGCUUCCUUGUAUUUAUAGGAAACGGUCGGAGAGAAAUGGCAGUUGGGACCAACUUCCCAUGCCCUGACAGACUGGGCAUGUCAGCCUAUCUCAUCAGGUCUGUCAGGCAGGUCCCAUCAACUAUCUUGCCCUUAGUAAGUGACAGACUGUGAUUGGACCCCAGUUGUCCCAUCAGGUAUGAUGGGGCUUGACGACAAAUACCUCGGUAGCCAAGAUGCACAAGAUGAUGGAGGAGUCGUGACAAGGCUCAUCUCGGCAAAUCGACACUUGAUCAUAGAAAAGGAUGGAUGAGUCGUUCUGAAAGGAGCCGGAGCGUGGAGUCCUAGCCGAAACCACCACCCUCAAUGACCAACCAUGCAAUUGAGGGUGCUUAGGUGUACUGAUUAAAACUUUUGCAAGGUUUUGUAGCAAUUGUAUAUUGGAUUUUUAGUUGCAUUUAUUGUGAUGCUACCCGUAUUUUAAAGUCUCCUCAUUUUUUGGUAACUAUAGAGCAGGAAAAUAAAGGGCAACGAAAAGAAUGUUACUUGACCUUGUGAUCUCAAGACAAUAACGUAUUGUAACUACUCAACGUUGUGGAUUUGGUAAUGGAGUAUCACGGGCAGACUAAAUCAAG
rnacentral:lncRNA from 1 species